rnacentral:rRNA from 1 species
AGUGAACGCUGGCGGUAGGCCUAACACAUGCAAGUCGAACGGCAGCACAGUAAGAGCUUGCUCUUACGGGUGGCGAGUGGCAGACGGGUGAGGAAUACAUCGGAAUCUACUUUUUCGUGGGGGAUAACGUAGGGAAACUUACGCUAAUACCGCAUACGACCUACGGGUGAAAGCAGGGGAUCUUCGGACCUUGCGCGAUUGAAUGAGCCGAUGUCGGAUUAGCUAGUUGGCGGGGUAAAGGCCCACCAAGGCGACGAUCCGUAGCUGGUCUGUGAGGAUGAUCAGCCACACUGGAACUGAGACACGGUCCAGACUCCUACGGGAGGCAGCAGUGGGGAAUAUUGGACAAUGGGCGCAAGCCUGAUCCAGCCAUACCGCGUGGGUGAAGAAGGCCUUCGGGUUGUAAAGCCCUUUUGUUGGGAAAGAAAAGCAGCAGGUUAAUACCCCGCUGUUCUGACGGUACCCAAAGAAUAAGCACCGGCUAACUUCGUG